rnacentral:sRNA from 1 species
UGAUUUAAUAGAGUAAAUUUAGAAUGAUCCUGCUGCAGCUGAUCAAAUAUGUUUUCAUUCGUAAAUCCAGGGAUGAGGGUCAAUAAUACUGCAAAAAUACUAAAAAGCCGAAAUGCAAGUGGAGUCCAUCUCUAGAAAUGGUUAUCGAUAGGAAGAACAGGAAAGUCGUCGCCUAAGAAUGUGUUAUUCAGAAUGGACAACGAAAGAGUGGCGGAUGUAUUCCAAGUGGAGAUCCAUAUCGGCAAUAUAAAUUCGAAUUCUCAGAUAGUGCUAAACGAUCUUCGCCUGCUCGAAUUGCUCCACAAGUAUCCGUUUCUAUUCGGCAAAGCUUUAGCUCCCCAGGCCGACAAGGAUUAUGAGGAGUGGUGCUGGAGGGAAACAGGCAAGGCUACGAUGACUUAAAGCUCCGUGCUCCUUCUCCGUUGAGGAGCUCCAGUGGCGUUGGAAUCUUCUGCGGCCCAUCUGCCAUCUCGCAAAGGCGAGCCAGGCGAAGAUUAUGUGAAAAGAGUGCGAGUGCGUCUAAAGCGUUUCAGUCUCGGUGACUAUCUGCCCCUGGCGAGCUUCCGGAAGAGCAGCACCAGCAGCUCCGCAGCCUAUUGUCUUUAGGAUGCGUCUUUCUUUAGUUUUAUAUCAAAUGCACAAUAAGUUUAUUUAAAAAAUACAUUACUAUAAAUUACAACUUAAA